rnacentral:rRNA from 1 species
AUUGAACGCUGGCGGAAUGCUUUACACAUGCAAGUCGAACGGUAGAGGGGGCAACCCCUCGAGAGUGGCGAACGGGUGAGUAAUAUAUCGGAACGUGCCCAGUCGUGGGGGAUAACGUAGCGAAAGUUACGCUAAUACCGCAUACGAUCUAAGGAUGAAGGCGGGGGAUCGCGAGACCUCGCGCGAUUGGAGCGGCCGAUAUCAGAUUAGGUAGUUGGUGGGGUAAAGGCUCACCAAGCCAACGAUCUGUAGCUGGUCUGAGAGGACGACCAGCCACACUGGAACUGAGACACGGUCCAGACUCCUACGGGAGGCAGUAGUGGGGAAUUUUGGACAAUGGACGCAAGUCUGAUCCAGCCAUUCCGCGUGCAGGAUGAAGGCCCUCGGGUUGUAAACUGCUUUUGUACGGAACGAAAAGGUCUCUCUUAAUACGGGGGGCUCAUGACGGUACCGUAAGAAUAAGCACCGGCUAACUACGUGCCAGCAGCCGCCGUAA